rnacentral:lncRNA from 1 species
GUUCUCAAUAUUAAAAUAAUCAUUCUAAGCUAAUAUAUCCCUUUAAUAAUUUUAGGACUUAGUCCUUUGUUAGGAUCAAGAGCGCACUAAGAGAGGGGGUGAAUUAGUGCAGCGGAAAACUUAUGCGAUUUUAGAAAAUAUUUCGUACGUUCGAAGGAAAUCGAUUCGGAAAGAUAAUUACUUUAAAACAUAAGAAAGCAUAAGUGUAGUGAAAGCAAGAUGAG